UCACAGAAUUUAGAAAACCAUCAAAAUAGUAUGAUUCUCCGUAUGUGAUUGGAAGAGUCAACUUGAACACUUUAAACUGAUCUGAACAAACUGCACGAGGCAUUGCAAAUGUUUACUCGGUGUUGUAUUGAUUCUUGACUGGCUGUUAAUUUUAUACAAGCUAAAGACGACCUUAUUUUGAAUAUAAUUUUGAAAGAGUCAGACCGCUAUUAACUGGUUAUGCACAAGGCAUUUUAGAUUUGCAAGCGUAGGGGAUGAAUCUUGACAGGCUGUUAAUUUUAUAGAAGCUAAUGUUGACCUUAUUUUAAAUAUAAUAGAGUGUUAUUGUCUGGAGGUGUUUGAUAUUCAGUCAGUAGAACAUGCAAAAUAUUGAAAUGAUUUGCUGCUGUGACUGUGUUUAUGAUUAUCCACGGCAAG